rnacentral:rRNA from 1 species
CCCCUAGAUGUUCUGAGCCGCACGCGCGCUACACUGAACAGUUCAACAAGUCUUAACCUUGGCCGAUAGGUCUGGGUAAUCUUUGAACGCUGUUCGUGAUUGGGAUAGACCUUUGCAAUUAUGGGUCUUCAACGAGGAAUUCCUAGUAAACGCAAGUCAUCAGCUUGCAUUGAUUACGUCCCUGCCCUUUGUACACACCGCCCGUCGCACCUACCGAUUGAAUGGUCCGGUGAAAUCUCGGGACGGCGGCUUGGUCGCUUGCGUCCGACUGCUGAAACUUGAUUAAACCAUAUCAUUUAGAGGAAGGUGAAGUCGUANCA